ensembl:lncRNA
UUUUUUUUUUUUUUUGGUCUUUUUGGGGCCACACCCACAGCAUAUGGCAUAUGGAGGUUCCCAGGCUAGGGGUCCUAAGCCACAGCCACAGAAACACGGGAUCCAAGCUGCAUCUGAGACCUACCUACACCACAGCUCACAACAACACUGGAUCCUUAACCCACUGAGCAAAACCAGGGCUCGAACCUUCAUCCUAAUGGAUGCUAGUAGGAUUUGCUAACCACUGAGCCACGAUGGGAAUCCCUGAAAUAUACUUGUUUAUUAACCGUAAGAUCAAUCUGAUGUGUCUGUUCUGUCCCCUCCAAUCUAACCUAAACAACUAACAUAGGGCCUAGUACACAGCAAGUGCUCAAAAAUAUUUGCUGAGUAAAUGUAUAACAAAGUACUUUGCAUUCUUCCAGGAACUGUAUUUUUCCACUUAUAUCACUUUUAUGGUCAACAUAUCAAAAUCAUAUUGACAGCCCUAGAGUUAAAUGCUGAUGAUAUACCCUCACUAAAAAAUGUUUCAUUUUAAAAAAUACUUCCUCUUCAUUUCUUCCUGAACAGUUAGUCAAAUCACCAUUGGAGGCUUAGAUAGAAUGUUAAAUACUGUUUACAAACUAAAGUUAAAUAUAAAAUUAGAGGGUAAAAUUAAAAAAAAAACUUAAAUUGUCAGAACCAAUGGCAAUACUUAAACAUGAACUGAAAGUUCUUCUAAAUAAUAUUUCCCAUCAUCUAAAUAGUUAUAACAAAAGGAGGGUUGUGGACAGCUAUACACAUACCAUAUAGGAAUCAGGAAAUACUAUUAUAGUAGUCUGAGGAGAAAAGAAUUCUAGUGCUAUUUCAUGCCGUGAUACAAGUAGAGAAAUAGGGACAUUUCCAUCCAGCUGGCAAGCACUCAGUUCCAGAGUCCAUUUUUUUCCAGUGAAUUCGCCAUAGUUUUAGAAUUCAUUUAUUUAACAAUUACUUAUUAAAACUUUUAAUGGGUUCAAUUUUCAUUUUUCUUAGAAUAUUAACUUAUUUAACUCUCAUAACCAUCUUUUGAGAAAGCAUUGUUAACAUAUUUUUUUGCGCUUUUUUUUUUUAAGGGCUGCCCUGUGACAUAUGGAGGUUCCCAGGGUGGGGGUCGAAUCAGAGCUGUAGCCACUGGCUACGCCACAGCCACAGCAAUGUCAGAUCUGAGCCAGGUCUGUGACCUACCCCACAGCUUAUGGCAACAUUGCAUACUUAACCCAUUGAGCAAGGCCAGGGAUCAAAUCUGUGUCCUCAUGGAUCCUAGUCAGAUUUGUUUCUACUGAGCCAGGACGGGCACUCCAACAUUCCAUUUUGUAGUUGUAGAAACUGAGGCUCAGACACGUGAAAUAACUUUGAAGGUGGAAAGAAGGAAGGGUGAGAUUUAAACCCAGGAAGACUGACUCCCAGAUCUGUGUAAUUAACCUCUGUACUAUAGGGCUACUUUGAACUUUGAGUUUUAAAGCAUUUAGUCUAUCAACAAUUACAUCUUUCUCUAUUAUUCCCUCAAACCACCUUUAAAACAUUUCCCAUGAUUUACAAGGAACAUUUUUCAUCAGCCAUCAGCUUUUCUCAUCCAGUUCAAUAUAUACUUAGUUUUUCUCUCCUUGUUUUCUUCUAAAGAGGACCAUAUGUCUCCAGGCUGAGGAAUUGGAACUGGAAGCUAUAAAUUUGUGGAAGAAUGUAAAACUCACAGAACAGUCAUAUCUAAGAAGACUGAAACUCUUACUUCAUUUUCAGAACUAGUCUUUCUUUUGGAAAUAAGCUGUUUGGAAAUAGGAUUUUUUUUUCUGGCUUGAAACAUUGGGGAUUAUAAUUACUUAUGCAUUUGAUUCACUUUUUUCUGCUACUUAGAGGUAACCAAUUCUAAUAUCUUGGCAUGGCUUAGCCAAAGGGGAAAAGUUUCUGUUCUAUUAAUCUACUAGGAGCAACUUAAAGAUAAAGUCAAAGACUUUAUAGCUUUAAUCCUCAUAAAAUCUAAAUUACUUUAUUCCAUUUCAUAGUCAUAGGCAUCAUUUACGGUAGAGCUAUGUAGUUAUCUCCAAAUGUCUGUUUUUGGUGUCAAGGUAGAAUAGGUGACACAAAAGGUGAAUUACUUGUAAAGACAAUAGAAACUCUGAAUCCAAGUACAUAUAUAUCAUAGUAAUAUUCAAAGCAGAAAUUAUAGGCUCUAGUAAAAUCAUUAUGAAAAUAUAGAAGAGAGACUUAGUAGUUGACUGUAGGAAUUGAUGCAAUUAAAUAUAUGGUUUAGGAGUUCCUGUGGUGGUUUAGCAGAUUAAGAACCCAGCAUAGUAGCCAUGAAAAUGUGGGGUUGAUUCCUGGCCUCGUUCAGUGGGUUAAGGAUCUAUCCAGUGUUGCUGCAAGCUGUGGAGUAGGUCGAAGAUGUGGCUCGGAUCUGGUGUUGCUGUGGCUGUGAUGUAGGCCUGCAGCUGCAGCUCUAAUUUGACACCUAGCCUGGGAACUUCUAUAAGCCAUAGGUGUGGUCAUAAAAAGAAAAAAAAAAAAGCAAUAUACAGUUUGGUUACAGCUGAUAAGUAAUCAAUGGAAUGUGUUUUCAAGGUUUCAUAUUCUGCAACCGUGGCAGGUCCCUGUAAACGUGGCAUGGCGUUCGGGGAAGUUGACCUGCGUUCCUCUUCAAAUCAUUUAACCACACUCAGCUGACCUGCAUUCCUUUUUAAAACAACCUCCUCAAGUUCAUUUCAAAUACCAAAACCUCUAGUUAGAAAUUUAAUCUCUUUAUGCACACGUGUGAAAUCUCUGGUAUCUAAAUGUGCCCUUUGCCUACAACUACUCCAUGUUUAUAGAAGAUGAACUUGACAAGACCUCCCAGCCAUAGUUCCCCAGUCUUAAGGGAAUUUUCUCUUUUCCCUUGGAAAUGGAACAAGGCAGGACGAUUUGCAGUCAGGAUCAGAUGGCCUCAGAUAAUGUUUAGUUUCAGGCACAUUGACCAGUAGGAGAGAAUCAGUCCCAGGAGGAAAGCUACAGGUGCCCCCUCUGAGAGGGGGUCUAUCUCUCUUUUUCUCUCGCUCGCUUGCUCUCUCUUGCUCCCCCUCCCUCCCUUUCUGUUAAGAGGUCCUUAAUCUGGGGGAUACAUCAGUUGUUGAAACCAUUCAUCCUAGGCCUACAUUUCAGAAAUUAUCUGUCCUCUUGGCCCAAGUUGGAAAGUAGUAUAACCCAGCAGGCAGACUGUUAAUUUGGCAGCUCUGAAAAAUAUAUCAAUCCCUUGGUAUAGCAUAGAGUAUGCUAUGGCUGAGUAUUUAAUAACUAAGAUACUGUUAUAUAUACACAUGUCAUGUUAUAAAAGCAAGUAUGCUGAUCAUUUAUCCCAAACUAAAUUGAAUACUUCUGAUAUAGGGCUAUUUAUUUCACCAAGAGAAAAAAGAAACCUAAGAAAAAGUUGAGUAAUUAGGCUGUACAAUUUGAAGGAUUUAAACACUCUCCAUUUUUUUUUCUAAAGUGUUAUUUUUCUUAGAGAUAAAAAUGUUGUAUGAGCAAGAUUGCUUAGAAAUAACCAUUUUAGGGUUAAAUAACAGAUCCAUGUCAUUGGUUCACAUCAAUGACUGGAGUAGCCAUUAAUGAAGAUGAAAAAAAAAGAGACUAGAAUUUAAAAGGAGGAAAGGAUGGUAUUAAAGACAAAAACCAGACAAGUAUGAUUGAGUUUAUUCAGGCUCUUCCAAUAGGAAGAGCACCCUAAAUCUGUAUAUCACAGUGUUUCAAGAGGAGGGGUGGUGAUGUUACAUUGGGCUUUUAUAGGGAAAACAGACAAGUUACAGGUGGGGUGACUUACAAUUGGGAUCAUUUUGUCAUCAGAGGAAGUCUAGGUCAGUUAGCUGAACAGGAAAUGUUUUUCUCUGUGUCUAGCAAGUUUAAGAGGGACAAACAGUUCUAAUCUCAGCAAUUCAUUCAUGAGACAGAGAAUGGGAAGUUAGAAGGUCUGGGUCUGGUCUUGUCAGCAGGUUCAGGCAGAAAAGGGAAAGUGUGUGUCUGGCCUUGUCAUAGGUAAACAAGGGAGUCAUGCACGAAUCCUAUGGAGUCAUGAGAAAGAGGGGGCUGACGAGUGUUAUCACAGCCAUAUGUGUGUGUGUGUGGGGGGGUGGCUCUUUGUGGUAAGCCAUUUCCCGGAACACAAAUAGGUGGGGGCAUGUCUCAGUCAUUGCUGGGAUCAUGGGACUCAGGCAGAUUCCACCACUGUCAACUGCAAACUGAUUCAGAUUGGAGGCAUCAGUGGACACAUGGGGAGAUGUGAUAGGACCCAAAGGAAGAUCACUUCAAACAAAUCUGAAGGCAUCAAGCCCCCAGGGAGGGAAAUGGCUUUCCAUUAAAAUUAUCCAGGGAAAAAGUCACCUAUUAAAGAUGGAGUGGGUGCAGUCCAUGGGAAGAGAUCAGGCCACUGGGCUCAGGUUGCUGCAGAAAUAAUACUUGUCAAUCAAAACUGAAGCUUAAGAAUGGGCAGAAGGUCUCUCAGUCAAGGAGAAGAGUGAACCCAAGUCAAUUAGGGAGAUAAAGCUCAAACCUGCGCAAGUCUGGCUACUGGGUUAAAGGAAGUGUCUUUAAAUCCAGCCUGAAACUUGUAUAAAAUUUGAAUCCAGAGCUCCUCUAGAAAUCCCAGCAGCUUUACAGCAGCUCUUGCUCCCUAUUGAUGGCUCAUUAUGGAAGAAGGGACAGGGAAAAAGAUCAUGGUCUCACAUCAGUUGAUUUACCAAAAACCCGUUAAUCUUCAUGGAUAGUUGGUGUUUUCGCCCCAGGUUGCCUCAGAACACAUGGCCAGAUACUCAUCACUUGAUUGUAUUUUCGCACAUGGUUGAAUUUUUUUUCUAUUUAAAAAUACCAAUGACAAAAUGCCCAAUGAUCUGUAAGCAUAGUAAUAGGAUUAAAUGGAAGCCUAGGAUAAUCUCAGCGAAUCAGAUUAACGAUGCAUACCAUUUCUUCUAUAUUGGAUCUUUCAUUAAAGUUGCUAUAGUUGCCGUAUAUCAUAAGCAGCUAAGUUGCUGGCCUUGAAUUUCACCUCCCUCCCCAAUUGUAACUUUAUUAGAAGUGCUAAGAUGAAGCAAAAGGCUAACACUUGCUCCAAGAAGAGAGAAAAGAAGAAAUAUUGAAGGGGGGAACAAAAACCAAAAAACAAAAAAAAAACACUUGGAGACUGAAGAA